rnacentral:tRNA from 1 species
GGUUUUGUAGCUCAACCGACAGAGCACCUGGCUUUUAACCAGGGGGUUCCAGGUUUGAAUCCUGGCAGGACCACCA